rnacentral:pre_miRNA from 1 species
CAACUACUCCCUCUGUACCAAAUUUCUUGUCUUAGAUUUGUCUAGAUACGGAUGUAUCUAAUACUAAAAUGUGACUUAAUACAUCUGUAUCUAGACAAAUCUAAGACAAGAAUUUUGGUACGGAGGGAGUACUUU